rnacentral:misc_RNA from 1 species
AGGCAAGAAAUCGAUUGGUAGACGCAGUGCUGGAAAACGCUUUUCACAUCCGAAGGCUUCAAGUUUUAAUUAAAAUCAAAAAAAAGAUUGUGAAAAAUGUCCUACGGUCAAGGCUACAAUCCCUACAAUCAAGGCUAUGCUGCACCGCCAGGCGCCUUUCCACCCCAAAACUCGCAGGUCUCCUCACAGGCACAGCAGUGGUUCGCUAUGGUGGAUCGGGAUCGAUCUGGAAAGAUCAACGCUUCCGAACUGCAGGCGGCGCUAGUAAAUGGGCGUGGCGAUCACUUCUCGGAUAACGCAUGCAAGCUAAUGAUUAGCAUGUUCGACAACGACGCUAGCGGAACCAUCGAUGUUUACGAGUUUGAAAAGCUUUACAACUACAUUAAUCAAUGGCUGCAGGUCUUCAAGACCUACGACCAGGACUCCUCUGGCCAUAUCGAGGAGAGCGAGCUGACUCAGGCCUUCACUCAGAUGGGCUUUCGGUUUUCGCCGGAAUUCAUCAACUUUCUGGUGAAGAAGAGCGAUCCACAGACCCACAAGGAGGUUUCGGUGGACCAGUUCAUUGUACUUUGUGUGCAAGUGCAGCGCUUUACGGAGGCCUUUCGUCAGCGGGACACACAGCAAAACGGAACAAUCACCAUAGGCUUUGAAGACUUUUUGACUGUGGCAAUCGGUUGCUCAUAUUAAACUUCGAGCGAAGCAACUGUUCCAAAGCAAUCCAAACUCUUGCGCACGGCACAGCCUUGAAACACACAUUUCUUAUUCCGUUUACUGUGCAUUUUGUUUAAAUUUAUAUGGUGUUUGCUAGCUUAGAUAGAUAUUCAUCGUCCUCUCACAGUCAUGUUAUUGCAAUCUCCUGAUUCCAGAAUCACCUUUCAAAAGUAUUUGUUAUUACAGCUCGACUAACACAUAGUACAAAGUGUCUUGCGCCUAAAAUAAAGUACAUAUAUUUAUAAAACGAAA